rnacentral:rRNA from 1 species
AUUGAACGCUGGCGGCAGGCCUAACACAUGCAAGUCGAACGGAAGAACUUUACUAGCUCCUGGUUUCAGCGGCCGACGGGGGGGUGAUGCGUGGAAAGCUGCGUGACACGUGGGGAUAACGCCCAAAAGAGGGGGCUAAUACCUCAUAACUCCUGCGGAAACAAGAGAGGCAUCUUCGGACCUUAGUCACUCAGAUGAACGUAGGUCGGAUUAGCUAGUUGGUUGGGUAAAGGCCUACCAAGGCGACGAUCCGUAUCUGGUCUGAGAGGAUGAUCAGUCACACUGGAACUGAGACACGGUCCAGACUCCUACGGGAGGCAGCAGUGGGGAAUAUUGGACAAUGGGCGAAAGCCUGAUCCAGCCAUGCCGCGUGUGUGAAGAAGGUCUUCGGAUUGUAAAGCACUUUUGGUUGGGAGGAAGGGCAGUAAGUUAAUACCUUGCUGUUUUGACGGUACCAAAAGAAUAAGCACCGGCUAACUUCGUG